rnacentral:snoRNA from 1 species
UUGAUAUGAUGUUGGGUUCUGUGAUGUUUGAAACAAAUGUCUGACCUGAAUUAAUAAAGUUGAAAAAUGUGUUCCUGAGCAA